rnacentral:rRNA from 1 species
AAUCAACGCUGGCGGCGUGCCUAACACAUGCAAGUCGAACGAGAAAGUGGAGCAAUCCAUGAGUAAAGUGGCGCACGGGUGAGUAACACGUGACUAACCUACCCUUGAGUGGGGAAUAACUUCGGGAAACCGAGGCUAACACCGCAUAACACCUACGGGUCAAAGGAGCAAUUCGCUUAAGGAGGGGGUCGCGGCAGAUUAGUUAGUUGGCGGGGUAAUGGCCCACCAAGACGGUGGUCUGUANCCGGCCUGAGAGGGCGCACGGACACACUGGAACUGAAACACGGUCCAGACUCCUACGGGAGGCAGCAGUGGGGAAUUUUGCGCAAUGGGGGAAACCCUGACGCAGCAACGCCGCGUGGAGGAUGAAGUCCCUUGGGACGUAAACUCCUUUCGA